rnacentral:rRNA from 1 species
CACUUAGAUGUUCUGGGCUGCACACGUGCUACACUGGCAGGUUCAGCGAGCUUCAUGCCCUGAUCUGAAAGGAAUGGGAAAUCUUUUCAAAACCUGCCGUGCUUGGGAUAGAUGUUUGCAAUUAUUCAUCUUCAACGAGGAUUGCCUUGUAAGCGCACGUCAUCAGCGUGCAUUGAAUACGACCCUGUAUUCUGUACACACCGCCCGUCGCUCCUACCGAUUGAAGUUUUCGGUGAGUUGACAGGAGGAUUUUUUUGAAACUGGUUCGCCAGUGGAUUUUAGAUCCAAAUGCCAACGAAUCGAUGGCUUUAGAGGAAGGAGAAGUCGUAACA